AACGAACGCUGGCGGCAUGCCUAACACAUGCAAGUCGAACGAGAUCUUCGGGUCUAGUGGCGCACGGGUGCGUAACGCGUGGGAAUCUGCCCUUUGGUUCGGAAUAACAGUUGGAAACGACUGCUAAUACCGGAUGAUGACGAAAGUCCAAAGAUUUAUCGCCAGAGGAUGAGCUCGCGUAGGAUUAGCUAGUUGGUGUGGUAAAGGCGCACCAAGGCGACGAUCCCUAGCUGGUCUGAGAGGAUGAUCAGCCACACUGGGACUGAGACACGGCCCAGACUCCUACGGGAGGCAGCAGUGGGGAAUAUUGGACAAUGGGCGAAAGCCUGAUCCAGCAAUGCCGCGUGAGCGAUGAAGGCCUUAGGGUUGUAAAGUUCUUUUACCCGGGAUGAUAAUGACAGUACCGGGAGAAUAAGCUCCGGCUAACUCCGUGCCAGCCGCCGCAGUAA
rnacentral:rRNA from 1 species